rnacentral:rRNA from 1 species
AUGCACGCUGGCGGCGUGCCUAAUCCAUGCAAGUCGAGCGAACGGACGAGAAGCUUGCUUCUCUGAUGUUAGCGGCGGACGGGUGAGUAACACGUGGAUAACCUACCUAUAAGACUGGGAUAACUUCGGGAAACCGUAGCUAAUACCGGAUAAUAUUUUGAACCGCAUGGUUCAAAAGUGAAAGACGGUCUUGCUGUCACUUAUAGAUGGAUCCGCGCUGCAUUAGCUAGUUGGUAAGGUAACGGCUUACCAGGGCAACGAUGCAUAGCCGACCUGAGAGGGUGAUCGGCCACACUGGAACUGAGACACGGUCCAGACUCCUACGGGAGGCAGCAGUAGGGAAUCUUCCGCAAUGGGCGAAAGCCUGACGGAGCAACGCCGCGUGAGUGAUGAAGGUCUUCGGAUCGUAAAACUCUGUUAUUAGGGAAGAACAUAUGUGUAAGUAACUGUGCACAUCUUGACGGUACCUAAUCAGAAAGCCACGGCUAACUACGUG